rnacentral:rRNA from 1 species
GAUGAACGCUGGCGGCGUGCCUAAUACAUGCAAGUCGAGCGAACGGACGAGAAUCUUGCUUCUCUGAUGUUAGCGGCGGACGGGUGAGUAACACGUGGAUAACCUACCUAUAAGACUGGGAUAACUUCGGGAAACCGGAGCUAAUACCGGAUAAUAUUUUGAACCGCAUUGUUCAAAAGUGAAAGACGGUCUUGGUGUCACUAAUAGAUGGAUCCGCGCUGCAUUAGCUAGGUGGUAAGGUAACGGCUUACCAAGGCAACGAUGCAUAGCCGACCUGAGAGGGUGAUCGGCCACACUGGAACUGAGACACGGUCCCGACUCCUACGGGAGGCAGCAGUAGGGAAUCUUCCGCGAUGGGCGAAAGCCUGACGGAGCAACGCCGCGUGAGUGAUGAUGGUCUUCUGAUCGUAAAACUCUGUUAUUAGGGAAGAACAUAUGUGUAAGUAACUGUGCACAUCUUGACGGUACCUAAUCAGAAAGCCACGGCUAACUACGUG